rnacentral:rRNA from 1 species
AAUAGAUACCCCGGUAGUCCACGCCGUAAACGAUGAGUGCUAAGUGUUAGAGGGUUUCCGCCCUUUAGUGCUGCAGCUAACGCAUUAAGCACUCCGCCUGGGGAGUACGGCCGCAAGGCUGAAACUCAAAGGAAGUUGACGGGGGCCCGCACAAGCGGUGGAGCAUGUGGUUUAAUUCGAAGCAACGCGAAGAACCUUACCAGGUCUUGACAUCCUCUGCCAACCCUAGAGAUAGGGCGUUCCCCUUCGGGGGACAGAGUGACAGGUGGUGCAUGGUUGUCGUCAGCUCGUGUCGUGAGAUGUUGGGUUAAGUCCCGCAACGGAGCGCAACCCUUGAUCUUAGUUGCCAGCAUUCAGUUGGGCACUCUAAGGUGACUGCCGGUGACAAACCGGAGGAAGGUGGGGGAUGGACGUCAAAUCAUCAUGCCCCUUAUGACCUGGGCUACACACGUGCUACAAUAGAUGGUACAAAGAGCUGCGAACCCGCGAGGGUAAGCGAAUCUCAUAAAAGCCAUUCUCAGUUCGGA